AUUAACGCUAGCGGCAGGCAUAAUACAUGCAAGUUGAACGGCAGCACAGGUAGCAAUACUGGGUGGCGAGUGGCGCACGGGUGCGUAACACGUAUGCAACCUACCCUAUACAGGCGAAUAACCUUUAGAAAUGAGGGCAAAUACGCCGUAGUAUUACAGAUGGGCAUCUAUUUGUAAUUAAAGAUUUAUCGGUAUAGGAUGGGCAUGCGUCCCAUUAGUUAGUUGGUAAGGUAACGGCUUACCAAGACGAUGAUGGGUAGGGG
rnacentral:rRNA from 1 species